GAGCACGUGGCUUAGCUUGGAUAGAGCACCUGCCUCCGGAGCAGGAAAUCGAGGGUUCAAAUCCCCCCGUGCUCG
rnacentral:tRNA from 1 species